rnacentral:ribozyme from 14 species
CGUGAAAUCCAUCAAUCAUUCAAGUCGCAACAAACAAACAAACAAACAACAAAAGAAGAACAAGAAAAGGAAUCGAAACGAAACGAAAACUUAUCUUCUUCCUCCUCCUCCUUUCCCUUUUC